UACGUAGGUGGCAAGCGUUGUCCGGAUUUAUUGGGUUUAAAGGGUGCGUAGGCGGCCUUAUAAGUCAGUGCUGAAAUAUCCCGGCUUAACCGGGAGGGUGGCAUUGAUACUGUAGGGCUUGAGUGUAGUCGAGGUAGGCGGAAUUGACGGUGUAGCGGUGAAAUGCUUAGAUAUCGUCAAGAACACCGAUAGUGUAGACAGCUUACUAGGCUACAACUGACGCUGAGGCACGAAAGUGUGGGGGAUCAAACAGG
rnacentral:rRNA from 1 species